rnacentral:piRNA from 1 species
ACGGGCUGGAGAGAUGGCUCAGAGGUUGAG